GGAAGGCAGCAGGCGCGCAAAUUACCCAAUCCCGGAACGGGGAGGUAGUGACGAAAAAUAACAAUACGGGACUCUUUUGAGACCCCGUAAUUGGAAUGAGUACACUCUAAAUCCUUUAACGAGGAUCCAUUGGAGAGCAAGUCUGGUGCCAGCCGUCGCGGUAAUUCCAGCUCCAAUAGCGUAUAUUAAAGUUGUUGCGGUUAAAAAGCUCGUAGUUGGAUCUCAGAUCCUGCCGGACGGUCCGCCUACCGGUGGUUACUGUUCGCUGCAGAUCGUUCGGAUAGUUCUUCCCGAUGAUCUUUACCGGUUGUCUCGAAUGACUGUCAAGUUUACUUUGAAAAAAUUAGAGUGCUCAAAGCAGGCGUGAAGCCUGAAUAGUUGUGCAUGGAAUAAUGGAAUAGGACCUCGGUUCUAUUUUGUUGGUUUUCGGAACACGAGGUAAUGAUUAAGAGGGACAGACGGGGGCAUUCGUAUUGCGACGCUAGAGGUGAAAUUCUUGGACCGUCGCAAGACGAACUACUGCGAAAGCAUUUGCCAAGAAUGUUUCCAUUAAUCAAGAACGAAAGUUAGAGGUCCGAAGGCGAUCAGAUACCGCCCUAGUUCUAACCAUAAACGAUGCCAGCCAGCGAUCCGGCUGUGUUCCUCAAAUGACACGCCGGGCAGCUUCCGRGAAACCAAAGCUUUUGGGUUCCGGGRGAAGUAUG
rnacentral:rRNA from 1 species